ACUCCUACGGGAGGCAGCAGUGGGAAUAUUGGACAAUGGGGGCAACCCUGAUCCAGCCAUGCCGCGUGUGUGAAGAAGGCUUUCGGGUUGUAAAAGCACUUUCAGUGAGGAGGAAAAGUUGGUCGUUAAUACCGGCCAGCCUUGACGUUACUCACAGAAGAAGCACCGGCUAACUCCGUGCCAGCAGCCGCGGUAAUACGGAGGGUGCAAGCGUUAAUCGGAAUUACUGGGCGUAAAGCGCGCGUAGGUGGUUUGAUAAGCGAGAUGUGAAAGCCCCGGC
rnacentral:rRNA from 1 species